ACGGUAAAUCAGACCGCCGCGGCGCUGGAGCGCGGCGACGUUUCCAGCGACGAGGAAAGUCCGGGCUCCGCAGGGCGUGAUGCCGGGUAACACCCGGGCGGGGCGCGUACAAUACGCGCCUUGACAGACAGCGCAACAGAAAGCAAACCGCCGGCAGUUUUCAGCGCUGAAAGCUGCCGGCAAGGGUGAAAAGGCGCGGUAAGAGCGCGCCGCGGAACCGGCGACGGUUUCGGCAUGGCAAGCCUCAUCAGGAGCAAAGUCAAACAGCGUAUGCAUCCAUCUACGGAUGCGCGGAUUGCCCGUCCGUCAAGCGCGGGUAGACUGCUGGAAAUCAUCCGCAAGGGUGAUGCCAGAUAGAUGGCGGUGUAAACAGAACCCGGCUUAUGAUUUACCGUUUUU
rnacentral:RNase_P_RNA from 1 species